rnacentral:rRNA from 1 species
AAAAAAUGUAACGGGGCUAAGCAUGCUGCCGAAGCUUCGGAUUUGUCUCUGACAACUGGUAGGGGAGCGUUCUCUGUGGGCUGAAGCGGAACCGAAAGGUUUCGUGGACUGCAGAGUAGUGAUUAUGCUGACAUGAGUAACGAUAAAAUAUGUGAAAAACAUAUUCGCCGUAAAUCCAAGGUUUCCUGGGUAAAGGUAAUCUUCCCAGGGUUAGUCGGACCCUAAGGCCAGGCUGAAAGGCGUAGCUGAUGGGAAACGGGUUAAUAAUCCUGUACUUGUGCGAUUGUGCGAAGAAGGGACGCAGGAUGGUAGACAGGCCGGUUUUUGGAAUCCGGUGCAAGUGCGUAGGUAUGCUCCGCAGGCAAAUCCGCGGGGAUGAGCCGAGACACGAGUCCGUGGGCGCAAGCCCUGAAGCUGUUGAGCCACGGCUGCCAAGAAAAGCUUCUAAGUUUAGAUCGCGCGAACCGUACCGCAAACCAACUCAGGUGGAUGGGAUGAAUAAUCCAAGGCGCUCGAGAGAACUCUGGCCAAGGAACUCGGCAAAUUGACCCCGUACCUUCGGAAUAAGGGGUGCUCCCCAUGGUGAGGCAGAUUCCUGCUCAGCCUCAGGGAGCCGCAGAGAAAUGGUGGUGGCGACUGUUUACUAAAAACAUAGGUCUGUGCGAAGUCCUACAGACGACGUAUACGGACUGACGCCUGCCCGGUGCCGGAAGGUUAGAAGGAGGAGUCAGCGCAAGCGAAGCUCCGAUUUGAAGCCCCGGUAAACGGCGGCCGUAACCAUAACGGUCCUAAGGUAGCGAAAUUCCUUGUCGGGCAAGUUCCGACCUGCACGAAUGGCGUAACGAUCUCCACGCUGUCUCGGCCAGAGACUCGGUGAAAUUGAAGUCGCGGUGAAAAUGCCGUGUACCCGCAGAAAGACGGAAAGACCCUGUGCACCUUUACUAUAGCUUGACAUUGGGUUUUGAACCUGCAUGUGUAGGAUAGGUGGGAGGCUGUGAAAGCUGUACGCCAGUAUGGCCGGAGCCACCCGUGAAAUACCACCCUUGUUUGUUCAGGACCCUAACUCGCAGCUGUAAUCCAGCGCGAAGACAGUGUCUGGUGGGUAGUUUGACUGGGGCGGUCGCCUCCUAAAGAGUAACGGAGGCAUGCAAAGGUUCCCUCAGGCUGAUUGGAAACCAGCCGUUGAGUGCAAGCGCAUAAGGGAGCUUGACUGCAAGAGAGACAUCUCGAACAGAUACGAAAGUAGGUGCUAGUGAUCCGGUGGUCCCGAAUGGAAGGGCCAUCGCUCAUUGGAUAAAAGGUACGCCGGGGAUAACAGGCUGAUCGCAUCCAAGAGUUCACAUCGACGAUGCGGUUUGGCACCUCGAUGUCGGCUCAUCACAUCCUGGGGCUGAAGCAGGUCCCAAGGGUACGGCUGUUCGCCGUUUAAAGUGGUACGCGAGCUGGGUUUAAAACGUCGUGAGACAGUUUGGUCCCUAUCUUCUGUGGGCGUAGGAGAAUUGAGAGGGUUUGUCCCUAGUACGAGAGGACCGGGAUGAACGCACCACUGGUGGAUCAGUUGUCGCGCCAGCGGCAUAGCUGAGUAGCUAUGUGCGGAAUGGAUAACCGCUGAAAGCAUCUAAGCGGGAAGCCAGCCUCGAGAUAAGUUCUCCCUGUCGCAAGACACUAAAGGGCCGGUGAAGACUACAUCGUUGAUAGGCCGGAGGUGGAAGCGCUGCGAAGCGUGGAGCUGACCGGUACUAAUAGCCCGUGCGCCUUAU